UACGUAGGGGGCAAGCGUUGUCCGGAUUUAUUGGGCGUAAAGAGCGUGUAGGCGGCCAUGUAGGUCCGUUGUGAAAACUCGAGGCUCAACCUCGAGACGCCGAUGGAAACCAUGUGGCUAGAGUCCGGAAGAGGAGAGUGGAAUUCCUGGUGUAGCGGUGAAAUGCGUAGAUAUCUGGAGGAACACCGGUGGCGAAGGCGGCGUUCUGGACUGCAACUGACACUGAGGAACGAAAGCCAGGGGAGCAAACGGG
rnacentral:rRNA from 1 species